UACGGAGGGUGCAAGCGUUUAUCCGGAUUCACUGGGUUUAAAGGGUGCGUAGGUGGGCAGGUAAGUCAGUGGUGAAAUCUCCGAGCUUAACUCGGAAACUGCCAUUGAUACUAUCUGUCUUGAAUUAUCUGGAGGUGAGCGGAAUAUGUCAUGUAAGCGGUGAAAUGCUUAGAUAUGACAUAGAACACCAAUUGCGAAGGCAGCUCACUACGGAUAUAUUGACACUGAGGCACGGAAAGCGUGGGGAUCAAACAGGAGUUAGA
rnacentral:rRNA from 1 species